rnacentral:rRNA from 1 species
AACGAACGCUGGCGGCAGGCUUAACACAUGCAAGUCGAGCGAGACCUUCGGGUCUAGCGGCGGACGGGUGAGUAACGCGUGGGAACGUGCCCUUCUCUACGGAAUAGCCCCGGGAAACUGGGAGUAAUACCGUAUACGCCCUUUGGGGGAAAGAUUUAUCGGAGAAGGAUCGGCCCGCGUUGGAUUAGGUAGUUGGUGGGGUAAUGGCCCACCAAGCCGACGAUCCAUAGCUGGUUGGAGAGGAUGAUCAGCCACACUGGGACUGAGACACGGCCCAGACUCCUACGGGAGGCAGCAGUGGGGAAUCUUAGACAAGGGGGGCAACCCUGAUCGAGCCAUGCCGCGUGAGUGAUGAAGGCCUUAGGGUUGUAAAGCUCUUUCAGCUGGGAAGAUAAUGACGGUACCAGCAGAAGAAGCCCCGGCUAACUCCGUG